rnacentral:rRNA from 1 species
AAACAACUCUCAGCAACGGAUAUCUUGGCUCUUGCAACGAUGAAGAACGCAGCGAAAUGCGAUACGUAGUGUGAAUUGCAGAAUUCCGCGAAUCAUCGAGUCUUUGAACGCAAGUUGCGCCCGAGGCUUGUCCAAGGGCAUUUCCGCUAGAGCGUCACCGCGCCCCCCCACCCACCCACCCGCUCUCCGCGAGCCGGUUGGAGUGAAAGUG